rnacentral:rRNA from 1 species
AUAUCAAUAAGCGGAGGAAAAGAAACCAACAGGGAUUGCCCCAGUAACGGCGAGUGAAGAGGCAAAAGCUCAGAUUUGAAAUCUGGCCCUUACGGGGUCCGAAUUGUAGUCUGUAGAGGAAGCUUCGGCGGGGUCUCCGCUCUAAGUCCCUUGGGACAGGGCGCCGCAGCGGGUGAGAGCCCCGUGCUCGGGUGGAUGCACCCCGCCAUGUGAAGCCCCUUCGAAGAGUCGAGUUGUUUGAGAAUGCAGCUCUAAAUGGGUGGUAAAUUCCAUCUAAGGCUAAAUACCUGCUAGAGACCGAUAGCGCACAAGUA